rnacentral:rRNA from 1 species
AGCAGCCGCGGUAAUUCCAGCUCCAAUAGCGUAUAUUAAAGUUGUUGCAGUUAAAAAGCUCGUAGUUGAACUUCGGGGUUUACCCAUUGGUCAGGCUUAAUUGUCUGUACUGGUAAGAUAAAUCUCUACCUUCUGAGGAACUUUCAUGUCAUUAAUUUGGUGUGAUUGGAAAUCAGGACUGUUACUUUGAAAAAUUAGAGUGUUUAAAGCAGGCUAACGUCUGAAUACAUUAGCAUGGAAUAAUGAAAUAGGACGGACUGAUUCUAUUUCGUUGGUUUCUAGGAUCACCGUAAUGAUUAAUAGGGAUAGUUGGGGGCAUUAGUAUUCAAUUGUCAGAGGUGAAAUUCUUGGAUUUAUUGAAGACUAACUACUGCGAAAGCAUUUGCCAAGGAUGUUUUCAUUAAUCAAGAACGAAAGUUAGGGGAUCGAAGACGAUCAGAUACCGUCGUA